rnacentral:rRNA from 1 species
UACGGGGGGAGCAAGCGUUGUUCGGAUUUACUGGGCGUAAAGGGCGCGUAGGCGGCCACUGCAAGUCGGUUGUGAAAUCUCCGGGCUUAACCCGGAAAGGUCAACCGAUACUGCAGGGCUAGAGUGCAGAAGGGGCAACUGGAAUUCUCGGUGUAGCGGUGAAAUGCGUAGAUAUCGAGAGGAACACCUGCGGCGAAGGCGGGCUGCUGGGCUGACACUGACGCUGAUGCGCGAAAGCUAGGGGAGCGAACGGG